CGGGGGAUCUUCGGACCUCGCGCCAUUAGAUGAGCCUAGGUCGGAUUAGCUAGUUGGUGAGGUAAUGGCUCACCAAGGCGACGAUCCGUAACUGGUCUGAGAGGAUGAUCAGUCACGCUGGAACUGAGACACGGUCCAGACUCCUACGGGAGGCAGCAUGGGGAAUAUUGGACAAUGGCGAAAGCCUGAUCCAGCCAUGCCGCGGUGUGUGAAGAAGGUCUUCGGAUUGUAAAGCACUUUAAGUUGGGAGGAAGGGUAGUAACCUAAUACGUUGCUACUUUGACGUUACCGACAGAAUAAGCACCGGCUAACUUCGUG
rnacentral:rRNA from 1 species